GUAUUCGCCGGAGAUGGCAAGUAAAAUAGUGGUCCUGUGCGCUAUACUCCACAAUAUCGCGGUAAGGAGUAGCGUAGAGCUUCCUCAGACAGAGGAAUUGCCUGAUGAGGAGCCAGGGGUUGUCCGACACUUCGGUGGGGGGAGUGUUACAAGGAGGGGGAGCCAAGUCAGGGCAAGCAUUGUUGCUGAAUUUUUCAGCUGAAAGACCACACAAACUGAGGACGACCACAACGGCAAGCACCACAUGAUGCACCAGCUCAGCACCCUUCCCCUUCUCACUCCCCCUCCACUUCCCAGUCCCCCUCCCCUUCUCACUCCCCCUCCCCUUCUCACUCCCCCUCCCCUUCUCACUCCCCCUCAGCUUCCCAAUCCCCCUCAGCUUCCCAAUCACCCUCAGCUUCACAAUCCACCUCAGCUUCCCAGUCACCCUCAGCUUCCCAGGCCCCCUCAGCUUCCCAGGCCCCCUCAGCUUCCCAGGCCCACUCCACUUUCCACUCCCCUUCUCAGCCAACCUCUCCUUCUCUUUCUGUGACCCCUUCUCCUCCUUCCCAUACCCCUUCUCCUUCUACUUCCAACUCACCUUCUCAGCCCCCCUCACCCUCUAUUGGCCUAACAUUUUCACCGCCCCCCUCGCCCUCUCAAUCAGACCCACCCUCUGAAAUUACAUCCCCAAUCCAACCUCCUUCCCCCAUCCAGCCUCCUUCCCCCAUCAAGCCUCCUUCCCCCAUCCAGCCUCCUUCCCCCAUCCAGCCUCCUUCCCCAAUCCCUCCUCCUUCCCCCAUCCAGCCGCCUUCCCCCAUCCAGCCGCCAUCCCCACCCAGUGAAUGGGCAGAGGAAG